rnacentral:rRNA from 1 species
AUACGUAGGGGGCAAGCGUUAUCCGGAAUCACUGGGCGUAAAGGGUGCGUAGGCGGCCAAAUAAGCCAGAGGUGAAAGGCUACGGCUCAACCGUAGUAAGCCUUUGGAACUGUAUGGCUUGAGUGCAGGAGAGGAGAGUGGAAUUCCUAGUGUAGCGGUGAAAUGCGUAGAUAUUAGGAGGAACACCAGUGGCGAAGGCGACUCUCUGGACUGCAACUGACGCUGAGGCACGAAAGCGUGGGGAGCGAACAGGAUUAGAUACCCCAGUAGUCC